UGAAACCACUCCAAGUCCGAGCUAUCAGCAGUAAAGGCAAACGUUUCAAUGAAAAUAAUGAAACUGUAUGGUGCAGAAAGUGACUUUUUCAUAACAGUUUCUGCAGAAACCAUAGUGCUGGGCAACGGUAGAUCACUAUGGCUUCUGCACCGUGAAAUCAAGCUUAUGAUGAAAUACUGAUGCUUGGCCAAUCUCACCCACGAGAUAUAAUAAGAACUAAUGCAGGUUUAUAACUACAUGUAUUGUAUCCGGAACAAAGUUAGUACGCCUUUUAUACCGAAGUUGGAUUUUUCUCCAGAUACAGGCAACUUACCCAGUAGUGGCAACAGAUACAGGCAACUUCGAAAGUAGUGCGCUGGAUUCGCCUAAAGAUGCGCUAAACAACGCAUCAAUUAGUUUGACAGAUAAAA